rnacentral:rRNA from 1 species
CCUACGGGAGGCAGCAGUCGAGAAUCAUUCACAAUGGGGGAAACCCUGAUGGUGCGACGCCGCGUGGGGGAAUGAAGGUCUUCGGAUUGUAAACCCCUGUCAUGUGGGAGCAAAUUAAAAAGAUAGUACCACAAGAGGAAGAGACGGCUAACUCUGUGCCAGCAGCCGCGGUAAUACAGAGGUCUCAAGCGUUGUUCGGAAUCACUGGGCGUAAAGCGUGCGUAGGCUGUUUCGUAAGUCGUGUGUGAAAGGCGCGGGCUCAACCCGCGGAAGGCACAUGAUACUGCGAGACUAGAGUAAGGGAGGGGGAACCGGAAUUCUCGGUGUAGCAGUGAAAUGCGUAGAUAUCGAGAGGAACACUCGUGGCGAAGGCGGGUUCCUGGACAUUAACUGACGCUGAGGCACGAAGGCCAGGGGAGCGAAAGGGAUUAGAUACCCGAGUAGUC